UACGUAGGGUGCGAGCGUUGUCCGGAAUUAUUGGGCGUAAAGAGCUCGUAGGCGGUUUGUCGCGUCGACUGUGAAAACCUACAGCUUAACUGUGGGCUUGCAGUCGAUACGGGCAGACUUGAGUUCGGUAGGGGAGACUGGAAUUCUUGGUGUAGCGGUGAAAUGCGUAGAUAUCAAGAGGAACACCUGCGGCGAAGGCGGGUUGCUGGGCCGACACUGACGCUGAGACGCGAAAGCGUGGGGAGCAAACAGG
rnacentral:rRNA from 1 species